rnacentral:tRNA from 3 species
GGGCCCUUAGCUCAGCGGUUUAGAGCGCUCGCCUCACACGCGAGAGGUCAGUGGUUCGAAUCCACUAGGGCCCACCU